rnacentral:lncRNA from 1 species
AGGGAGGGAGGGAGGGAAGGAAGGAAGGAAGAAAGAAAAAAGACAAAAAGAAGGAAAGAAAGAAGAAAGAAAGAAAGAAAGAAAGAAAGAAAGAAAGAAAGAAAGAAAGAAAGAAAGAAAGAAAGAAAUGUUACAAAAUAUUCCUUUUCUUCUUUUCUCUCUUAUAAAAACCCAUACAUACCCAACUAUGAGGACUACUUUAAGUGGCCAGUGCAGACGCCCUUCAGCAGAUCGCAGGGCUAACUGGCCUUUGGGGAGCCGCCUCCUUCUGCUCCUGAAGACUCGUUUCUCCAGGCCUGGCAGGGGCAUUUCCAAUUAAUAGCAGUGCAGCUUUGGAUCACAGCUUUGCAAAAGGGUCAAUGCUAAGAAGUAAACACUGGAGCGCUCAACGACAAUAAUUCAUAAGCAGCAGGAAGGAAAGUGCUCGCUCGUCUUGUCGGGCUCGUUGGAGCCAGUUCUGAGUUUAUUCAUGACAUGUGAAGUGUAUCCGCAGGCAAACUCCUCGAUGAAACGCCUCAAGACCCACACGGCACUGUCAUUUGAAUUGAAUGGACGGAAACCCCAGCCUGUUGGUGAGAAGAUACCAGAUUCCGUGAAUCGCCACAACAGCCAGGUUGCGUUUACAGCGUGGGGAACACAGACACAAGCACCACGAGGAGAGCCCCCACUUUGCUUUGACAGAGAGCACCGGAGUUCGCAGAGCCUUCCAUGAAGCCGGAGGACGGGGCUGUAGGAGAGUGUGUGUGCCCUGCGGCCCCCUCCUUGCCCAGCACCUGGGUGCAGCCGAUACCCGAGGGGAGUGUCAGGCCCUGGACCCUGUCUCCGGGGCGUGUGCAUCUGCAGUGGCUUUGCUUGGAAGCAAAGUUACUGUAAGCAACAAAGAAUGGACACUUUCUAGCACUGGUUAUCUCUGAGCAAAAUUAUACAGUUUGGCAUAUUUUAAAACAUAAAUAAAGUUUAUGCUAUAAUUUUAAUAUUUUAAAAUUUAAC